rnacentral:rRNA from 1 species
UACGUAGGGGGCAAGCGUUGUCCGGAAUCAUUGGGCGUAAAGCGCGUGUAGGCGGUUCGGUAAGUCGGCUGUGAAAGUCCAGGGCUCAACCCUGGGAUGCCGGUCGAUACUGCCGGACUAGAGUUCGGAAGAGGCGAGUGGAAUCCCGGUGUAGCGGUGAAAUGCGCAGAUAUCGGGAGGAACACCAAUGCGAAGGCAGCUCGCUGGGACGUUACUGACGCUGAGACGCGAAAGCGUG